rnacentral:rRNA from 1 species
AUUGAACGCUGGCGGCAUGCCUUACACAUGCAAGUCGAACGGUAACGCGGGGCAACCUGGCGACGAGUGGCGAACGGGUGAGUAAUAUAUCGGAACGUGCCCAAUAGUGGGGGAUAGCCCGGCGAAAGCCGGAUUAAUACCGCAUACGACCUGAGGGUGAAAGCGGGGGAUCGCAAGACCUCGCGCUAUUGGAGCGGCCGAUAUCAGAUUAGGUAGUUGGUGGGGUAAAAAGCUUACCAAGCCUACGAUCUGUAGCUGGUCUGAGAGGACGACCAGCCACACUGGGACUGAGACACGGCCCAGACUCCUACGGGAGGCAGCAGUGGGGAAUUUUGGACAAUGGGCGCAAGCCUGAUCCAGCCAUGCCGCGUGCGGGAAGAAGGCCU